rnacentral:rRNA from 1 species
UACGAAGGGUGCGAACGUUAAUCGGAAUUACUGGGCGUAAAGCGCAUGCAGGCGGUCUGUUAAGUCAGAUGUGAAAGCCCGGGGCUCAACCUCGGAACCGCAUUUGAAACUGGCAGGCUAGAGUCUUGUAGAGGGGGGUAGAAUUUCAGGUGUAGCGGUGAAAUGCGUAGAGAUCUGAAGAAAUACCAGUGGCGAAGGCGGCCCCCUGGACAAAGACUAACGCUCAGAUGCGAAAGCGUGGGUAGCAAACAGG